UACGUAGGGCGCAAGCGUUAUCCGGAAUUAUUGGGCGUAAAGAGCUCGUAGGCGGUUUGUCGCGUCUGCUGUGAAAACUCGGGGCUUAACUCCGGGCCUGCAGUGGAUACGGGCAGACUAGAGUCAGGUAGGGGAGAACGGAAUUCCUGGUGUAGCGGUGAAAUGCGCAGAUAUCAGGAGGAACACCGGUGGCGAAGGCGGUUCUCUGGGCCUGUACUGACGCUGAGGAACGAAAGCGUGGGGAGCGAACAGG
rnacentral:rRNA from 1 species